UGUAAGCGUAUACCAAAGUUGUUGCAGUUAAAACGCUCGUAGUCGGAAUUUGGCAGUUCCGGAUGUGUGCACGUCGUGUGCGCACUUCGCGGGGAUUGCUUUUGUGGUCUUGCGUAGGAUGAGGCACUUUUAUUAGUGAACGUCCUCACGCAACCACUUUUUACUGUGAGAAAAUCAGAGUGCUCAAAGCAGGCAUUUGCCGUGAAUGUAUUAGCAUGGAAUAAUAGAAUAGGACUUGGUUCUAUUUUGUUGGUUUGUUGGGACUGAGUAAUGAUUAAGAGGGACGGUUGGGGGCAUUUGUAUUUCGGUGCUAGAGGUGAAAUUCUUAGAUUACCGAAAGACAAACUGCUGCGAAAGCGUCUGCCAAGGAUGUUUUCAUUGA
rnacentral:rRNA from 1 species